CUUUCAUUAUGUUAUGAUUUAGGGACCAAUGAUCCGUUGUAUGGAAAUUACACGGAAUAGGAUCAGCACAACAAGGAGGCUGCAGCAGGACGUUAAGGUUAUCAAUAAAGGCAAGAAAUUCUACUUAUUCUUCUGAAUAAAGAGGGUAACCUUGAAGAGAAGCUUGCAACUUAAGCUGUAACCAAACAUUAUGAAAAGAGGUCUCACGCUGUGAAUAUUUAGUUGAUGCACUAGUGAUUUUAGAUGUUGCACCUCUGUUUUCAUUCUCUUUUGAUUCAUGUAUGUAAAUUUGAUGGAAUUGUAUCCGAUGUAUGUGAAUUUGUAACUCCAUGGUUGAUGGAAGCUAUUGAUAGCGAUGUUUCUUUGUUCUAAACAAUCAGAGUAAUAAAAUAGCUAUGCGUAAGACCA